AUUUAGAGGCACUCUCUAACCUGAGUACGCAUUUGAAACAUCUGAGGGCUUUGAAACAUACCUGCUCCUGGACCACCUGCUGAACCAAUUAAAUCAGAAUUUCUGUUGUGAAGAUCUCCACGUGAGUUUAAGCUUUCCUGCUCAACUGUUAGUUCCAUGAAGGCAACAGCCAUGCCUGCUUCGUUCACUGAAAUAUCUUCGUUUCCUAACACAUAGAAAGUCAUCAUUUUUUGACGGAUGAAAGAAUGGAUGAAUGCCUAGUCUUGGAGACAUCUACUUGCAAUAAAGGUUAGAUGAAGGAAAUGGAUGCCAGUGGGAGAUUUGUGGAUCUAUUUCACCAGAUUUCACUCUGCUGACUCAGCAAAAGGGUCCCCGAAGAAAGUUGGGGAAGUUCUCCUGGAUAAUAUCCUGAAGAGUGUUUUCCAGCUUGGUUCCAUUCUCCCCAUCACUUUCAGGUGAAGAAACAGAGGCAAAGGGAGCAUAAGCAAUUUUCCAAAGGCCAUACAACAUGUAAGUGGCUGAGCCAAGACUGAAAUCACCAGGUUCUUAACCACUAGGCCAUAUUGCAUUGGAGUGUUGCCUCCUGGAGUAAGACUAGGCUAAAAGCUUUAUAGAAAGCUAAAGGAGUUAGAGAAGGAAGAUCUCUCAAUGGAAAUGCUAAGAAGAGACACAAGUCAAGACACAUCACUAAGGAGAGACCCAAGAAAAAUGGCUCUAUGACUACAGUCCAUUUAAAGAAUGAGGGCGUUCCUUCUACCAAGUUGCAGGUGGAGAUGUGUUUACCUGCUGGAUACCAAUGCUUCUAGCAUCAGGAAGAAGUUGAGCCCUGGAGGAAACAUUGCCUCUAAGUCUGUGUUCUGAUGGAGAUGAUGACUACUUCACAGGCACUUUGCAAGGUCUGCUGACAUUGACAAUACAUUGGACAAAGAGCAAAGAAGAGUCUGCAAAAAAACAACAACAAAAAAACAAAAAAAAAAAACAAAGGGUCAUCAGAAGAGUAACAGGAGAAAGAGUUAAUGUGUGGUGGAAUCCUUGGGAAAGCAUGAGUCAAGAAGUAUAGUAUACACAAUUCAGAUAACCAAGGGGUUACUUCCAAAAGGAUGAAUGUAUUUGUAGGCAAGGCGCAUAGAAAUAAGGUAUAGCUUGCAUAAAAAUCAAGAGUUUUGGUAAUAAAAUCUUUCUGCUGAGUUUUAA